rnacentral:tRNA from 1 species
UGUGGGUGGCUCAGUGGCAGAGUGCUUGCCUAGCAUGUAUGAGGCACUGGGUUCAAGUCUCAGCACCACAU